GGGGGCCCGCAAGCGGUGCAGCAUGUGGUUUAAUUCGAAGCAACGCGAAAAACCUUACCAGGUCUUGACAUCCUUCGACCAUUCUGGAGACAGAACUUUCCCUUCGGGGACAAAGUGACAGGGGGUGCAUGGUUGUCGUCAGCUCGUGUCGUGAGAUGUUGGGUUAAGUCCCGCAACGAGCGCAACCCUUGAUUUUAGUUGCCAGCAUUUAGUUGGGCACUCUAAAGUGACUGCCGGUGUAAGCCGGAAGAAGGGGGGGAUGACGUCAAAUCAUCAUGCCCCUUAUGACCUGGGCUACACACGUGCUACAAUGGAUAAUACAAAGGGUCGCGAAGCCGCGAGGUGGAGCCAAUCCCAUAAAAUUAUUCUCAGUUCGGAUUGCAGGCUGCAACUCGCCUGCAUGAAGCCGGAAUCGCUAGUAAUCGUAAAUCAGCAUGCUACGGUGAAUACGUUCCCGGGCCUUGUACACACC
rnacentral:rRNA from 1 species